GACGAACGCUGGCGGCGUGCUUAACACAUGCAAGUCGAACGGGCCCGCUCUCUUUUUUGGGGGUGGGUUGAGUGGCGAACGGGUGAGUAUCCCGUGAGUAACCUGCCCCCUGCUCCUGGAUAACUGCUUGAAAGGGCGGCUAAUACGGGGUGUGCCGGCUGGUCCGCAUGGGCCUGGUCGGGAUAGUUUCAUCUUCGGGUGUUUCGGUGGGGGAUGGGCUCGCGGCCUAUCAGCUUGUUGGUGGGGUGAUGGCCCACCAAGGCGGUGACGGGUAGCCGGCCUGAGAGGGUGGGCGGCCACACUGGGACUGAGACACGGCCCAGACUCCUGCGGGAGGCAGCAGUGGGGGGUAUUGCACAAUGGGCGGAAGCCUGAUGCAGCGACGUCGCGUGAGGGAUGGAGGCCUUCGGGUUGUGAACCUCUUUCUCCGGUGGUGAAGGCCCUGUCCGUUGCGGCGGGGUUGACGGUAGCCGGGUAUGAAGCGCCGGCUAACUACGUG
rnacentral:rRNA from 1 species